rnacentral:misc_RNA from 1 species
AACGCACGAGACCUGCGGACCUGCGGAGGGAUCAUUAAUGAGAAACUGCCCCUCGCGGGUAGAUCUCCCACCCUUCGUAAACUUACCUUUGUUGCUUUGGCAGGCCCGUCUCCGGACCGCCGGCUUCGGCUGGCCAGUGCCUGCCAGAGGAUUCUAAAACUCUGUCUGUCAGUGUUGUCUGAGUCUAUAUACAAUCGUUAAAACUUUUAACAACGGAUCUCUAGAUCGGAAGAGCACACG